GGGCCCGCACAAGCGGUGGAGUAUGUGGUUUAAUUCGAUGCAACGCGAAGAACCUUACCAGGGUUUGACAUCCUGCGAACCUCUUAGAAAUUUGAGGGUGCCUUCGGGAAUGCAGUGACAGGUGGUGCAUGGCUGUCGUCAGCUCGUGUCGUGAGAUGUUGGGUUAAGUCCCGCAACGAGCGCAACCCACGUUUUUUAGUUGCCAGCAUUUAGUUGGGCACUCUAGAAAGACCGCCGGUGAUAAACCGGAGGAAGGUGUGGAUGACGUCAAGUCAUCAUGCCCCUUACACCCUGGGCUACACACGUACUACAAUGCUACGGACAAAGGGCAGCAAACUCGCGAGAGCUAGCAAAUCCCAUAAACCGUGGCUCAGUUCAGAUCGUAGGCUGCAACUCGCCUACGUGAAGUAGGAAUCGCUAGUAAUCGC
rnacentral:rRNA from 1 species